UGAGGCAAGCAAGGAGGCGGCGGAGGCGGCAGAGAGCGGCAAGUAGUGGAAACGUUGCUUCUGAGGGGAGCCCAAGACGACCAGUUCUAACGAGUUCAAGCUGAACCAGCUACCCGAGGAUGGCAUCUCCUCGGUGAAGUUUAGCCCCAACACCUCCCAGUUCCUGCUUGUCUCCUCCUGGGACACGUCCGUGCGCCUCUACGGUGUGCCGGCCAACUCCGUGCGGCUCAAGUAGCAGCGCACCGGCGCCGUCCUGGACUGCGCCUUCUACCAUCCAAUGCAUGCCUGGAGUGGAGGACUAGAUCUUCAAUUGAAAAUGCAUGAUUUGAACAUUGAUCAAGAAAAUCUCGUUGGGACCCAUGAUGCCCCUAUCAGAUGUGUUGCAUACUGUACAGAAGUGAAUGUGAUGGUCACUGGAAAUUGGGAUCAGACAGUUUAGUUGUGGGAUUCCAGAACUCCUUGUAAUGCCGGGACCUUCUUUCAGCCUGAAAAGGUAUAUACCCUCUCAGUGUCUGGAGACCGGCUGAUUGUGGGAACAACAGGCCGCAGUGUUGGUGUGAGACUUACGGAACAUGAGUUACGUGCAGCAGCGCAGGGAGUCCAGCCUGAAAUACCAGACUCGUUGCAUACGAGCGUUUCCAAACAAGCAGGCUUAUGUAUUAAGCUCUAUUGAAGGCCGAGUGGCCGUUGAGUAUUUGGACCCAAGCCCUGAGGUACAGAAGAAGAAGUAUGCCUUCAAAUGUCACAGACUAAAAGAAAAUAAUAUUCAGCAGAUUUACCCAGUCAAUGCCAUUUCUUUUCACAAUAUCCACAAUACAUUUGCCACAAGUCGUUCUGAUGGCUCUGGAAGUAUUUGCGAUCCAUUUAACAAAAAGCGACUGUGCCAGUUCCAUCGGUACCCCAUGAGCAUCGCAUCACUUGCCUUCAGUAGUGAUGGGACUAUGCUUGCAAUAACAUCAUCAUAUAUGUAUGAAAUGGAUGACACGGAACACCCUGAAGAUGGUAUCUUCAUUUGCCAAGUGACAGAUGCAGAAACAAAACCCAAGUCACCAUGUACUUGACAAGAUUUCAUUUGCUUCAGUGCCAUGUUGAUGAUAAUAAAACAAUUUGUGCUCCCCAAUGGUGGAUUUGUUAAUAUUAAAGAAACCAGGGAAAAUAUUAAUUUUAAUAUUAUAACAACCUGAAAAUAAUGGAAAAGAGGUUUUUGAAUUUUUUAAAAAAUAAACAGUUUCUUAAGUGCAUGAGAUGGUUUGAUGGUUUGCUGCAUUAAAGGUAUUUGGGCAAACAAAAUUGGAGGGCAGUGACUGCAGUUUUGAGAAUCAGUUUUGACCUUGAUGAUUUUUUGUUUCCACUGUGGAAAUGAAUGUUUGUAGAUAAAUGUAAUAAAAAUCCCUUUGCAUUCUUUCUGGAUCUUAAAUGGUAGAGGAAAACGCUCAUGAGCCAUUUGUUUCUUUUGCUGGUUAUAGUUGCUAAUUCUAAAGCUGCUUCAGACUGCUUCAUGAGGAGGUUAAUCUACAAUUAAACAGUAUUUCCUCUUGGCCGUCCAUUAUUUUCUGACGCAGAUGGUUCAUCAUUUCCUGGGCUGUUAAACAAAGCGAGGUUAAGGUUAGAUUCUUGGGAAUCAGCUAGUUUUCCAUCGUAUUAGGGUGCAGAAGGAAAACUAAUAAGAAAACCUCCUAAUAUCAUUUUGUGACUGUAAAUGAUUAUUUAUUAGCAAACAAUUGAUCCCAGAAGGGCAAAUUGUUUGAGUCAGUAAUGAGCUGAGAAAA